rnacentral:rRNA from 1 species
UACAGAGGGUGCGAGCGUUGUUCGGAAUUACUGGGCGUAAAGCGCGCGCAGGCGGCCUUUUAAGUCUGGCGGUGAAAUGCCGGGGCUCAACCCCGUUGCAUGCCGCGGAUACUGGGAGGCUGGAGACGAGUAGAGGCAAGCGGAAUUCCGGGUGUAGCGGUGGAAUGCGUAGAUAUCAGGAGGAACACCGAUGGCGAAGGCAGGUCUCUGGGCUGACACUGACGCUCAUGCACGAAAGCGUGGGGAGCAAACAGG